rnacentral:rRNA from 1 species
AAUCAACGCUGGCGGCGUGCCUAACACAUGCAAGUCGAACGAGAAAAUCCGGUGUUGUAGCAAUACAAUACUGGGUGAGUACAGUGGCGACCGGGUGAGUAACACGUGGAUAACCUACCUUGGAGCGGGGAAUAACCCUGGGAAACCGGGGCUAAUACCGCAUAACACUUGGCGACUGCGGUUGCCGGGUUGAAACCUGGAAACGGGGCUCCUAGAGGGGUCCGCGGCCGAUUAGCUAGUUGGCGGGGUAACGGCCCACCAAGGCUGCGAUCGGUAGCCGGCCUGAGAGGGCGGUCGGCCACACUGGAACUGACACACGGUCCAGACUCCUACGGGAGGCAGCAGUGGGGAAUAUUGGACAAUGGGCGCAAGCCUGAUCCAGCGAUGCCGCGUGUGUGAAGAAGGCCUGCGGGGUUGUAAAGCACUUUCAGUAGGGAAGAAAGCCGAGUGCUAAUAUCACUCGGUCUU